rnacentral:rRNA from 1 species
UACGAAGGGGGCUAGCGUUGCUCGGAAUUACUGGGCGUAAAGCGCACGUAGGCGGCUUAUUAAGUCAGGGGUGAAAUCCUGGAGCUCAACUCCAGAACUGCCUUUGAUACUGGUGAGCUUGAGUCUGGGAGAGGUGAGUGGAACUGCGAGUGUAGAGGUGAAAUUCGUAGAUAUUCGCAAGAACACCAGUGGCGAAGGCGGCUCACUGGCCCGGUACUGACGCUGAGGUGCGAAAGCGUGGGGAGCAAACAGG